ensembl:lncRNA
CCAGGGCCUACAGGGUAGUAGGGCGCUACUUUAGACCAGGGCCUACAGGGUAGUAGGGCACUACUUUAGACCAGGGCCUAUAGGGUAGUAGUGCACUACUUUAGACCAGGGUCUACAGGGUAGUAGGGCACUACUUUAGACCAGGGCCUAUAGGGUAGUAGUGCACUACUUUAGACCAGGGUCUACAGGGUAGUAGGGCACUACUUUAGACCAGGGUCUAUAGGGUAGUAGGGCACUACUUUAGACCAGGGCCUAUAGGGUAGUAGGGCACUACUUUAGACCAGGGCCUAUAGGGUAGUAGGGCACUACUUUAGACCAGGGCCUAUAGGGUAGUAGGGCACUACUUUAGACCAGGGUCUAUAGGGUAGUAGGGCACUACUUUAGACCAGGGCCUAUAGGGUAGUAGGGCACUACUUUAGACCAGGGUCUACAGGGGAGUAGGGCACUACUUUAGACCAGGGCCUACAGGGUAGUAGUGCACUACUUUAGACCAGGAACCUAUAGGGUAGUAGUGCACUACUUUAGACCAGGGCCUACAGGGUAGUAGUGCACUACUUUAGACCAGGUUUAUAGGGUAGUAGUGCACUACUUUAGACCAAGUUUAUAGGGUAGUAGUGCACUACUUUAGACC